CUCUCGGUCGUCUAGUUGGUUUAUGACGUCAGACUGUAAUUGUUGUGCUCACCUCACCCGUGGCGCAUUGUGAUCUGGAUGUCGCGUGUUCGACUCACGCCUGAGAGA